rnacentral:rRNA from 1 species
GAUGAACGCUGACAGAAUGCUUAACACAUGCAAGUCAACUUGAACUUCGGUUUGGGUGGCGGACGGGUGAGUAACGCGUAAAGAACUUGCCUCACAGAUAGGGACAACAUUUGGAAACGAAUGCUAAUACCUGAUAUUAUGAUUAUAUGGCAUCGUAUAAUUAUGAAAGCUAUAUGCGCUGUGAGAGAGCUUUGCGUCCCAUUAGCUAGUUGGAGAGGUAACGGCUCACCAAGGCGAUGAUGGGUAGCCGGCCUGAGAGGGUGAUCGGCCACAGGGGGACUGAGGCACGGCCCUUACUCCUACGGGAGGCAACAGUGGGGAAUAUUGGACAAUGGACCAAGAGUCUGAUCCAGCAAUUCUGUGUGCACGAUGAAGUUUUUCGGAAUGUAAAGUGCUUUCAGUUGGGAAGAAAAAAAUGACGGUACCAACAGAAGAAGUGACGGCUAAAUACGUG